rnacentral:rRNA from 1 species
GACGAACGCUGGCGGCGUGCUUAACACAUGCAAGUCGAACGGAAAGGCCCUGCUUUUGUGGGGUGCUCGAGUGGCGAACGGGUGAGUAACACGUGAGUAACCUGCCCUUGACUUUGGGAUAACUUCAGGAAACUGGGGCUAAUACCGGAUAGGAGCUCCUGCUGCAUGGUGGGGGUUGGAAAGUUUCGGCGGUUGGGGAUGGACUCGCGGCUUAUCAGCUUGUUGGUGGGGUAGUGGCUUACCAAGGCUUUGACGGGUAGCCGGCCUGAGAGGGUGACCGGCCACAUUGGGACUGAGAUACGGCCCAGACUCCUACGGGAGGCAGCAGUGGGGAAUAUUGCACAAUGGGCGGAAGCCUGAUGCAGCAACGCCGCGUGCGGGAUGACGGCCUUCGGGUUGUAAACCGCUUUCGCCUGUGACGAAGCGUGGGUGACGGUAAUGGGUAAAGAAGCACCGGCUAACUACGCG